GCCUGGGUGGCUCAGUGGGUUGAGCUUCCGACUUCGGCUCAGGUCAUGAUCUCACAGUUCGUGGGUUCGAGCCCCGCAUCAGGCU
rnacentral:tRNA from 1 species